rnacentral:rRNA from 1 species
GACUCUCGGCAACGGAUAUCUCGGCUCUCGCAUCGAUGAAGAACGUAGCAAAAUGCGAUACUGGUGUGAAUUGCAGAAUCCCGCGAACCAUCGAGUUUUUGAACGCAAGUUGCGCCCGAGGCCUUCUGGUUGAGGGCACGCCUGCCUGGGCGUCA